GACGAACGCUGGCGGCGUGCCUAAUACAUGCAAGUAGAACGCUGAAGGAGGAGCUUGCUCUUCUGGAUGAGUUGCGAACGGGUGAGUAACGCGUAGGUAACCUGCCUGGUAGCGGGGGAUAACUAUUGGAAACGAUAGCUAAUACCGCAUAACAGUAGAUGUUGCAUGACAUUUGCUUAAAAGGUGCAAUUGCACCACUACCAGAUGGACCUGCGUUGUAUUAGCUAGUUGGUGGGGUAACGGCUCACCAAGGCGACGAUACAUAGCCGACCUGAGAGGGUGAGCGGCCACACUGGUACUGAGACACGGCCCAGACUCCUACGGGAGGCAGCAGUAGGGAAUCUUCGGCAAUGGACGGAAGUCUGACCGAGCAACGCCGCGUGAGUGAAGAAGGUUUUCGGAUCGUAAAGCUCUGUUGUAAGAGAAGAACGAGUGUGAGAGUGGAAAGUUCACACUGUGACGGUAUCUUACCAGAAAGGGACGGCUAACUACGUG
rnacentral:rRNA from 1 species